GCUGAUGCCCUGCUGAAAUAAGACCUUCACUGUAAUCCCAUCUCCAGUCUAACAUGCUGUUACCAGUUGUUCCAUAUCUUGCUUUUUCCACUCAAAGAAACCAUAUUUUAUGGCCCCCACCACCAACAGUCUCUGAGGCUGCUUUCUAUGCAUGCAGUGAAGAAAGCUCAUCCUCCUGCUAGAUUUCUGUCUCUGUUGCAGUUUAACUGCAGCGUUCUCCCCCUCCCUGCCAUGACUUUGUCUAUUUUCCUCAAGACUUUAGGCUGCAAAACACACCGCUCGCUCUCCAAGUCUUUGUUUUGCUCAGCGUGAGGGCACUGGGGCUCAUGCAGCAGACUCCCGUGGGGAUUUAUGUUUAUACCUGUGACUAACGCAGCCACUUCUUGCCGACUAGUUUUGCUCCAGACUUCUCUAACUGACUGUUCAAAAGCUCUGUGCAAGUACCACAGGCACCUGUACAGCCCCYUCCUCUGCCUGGCUUCACGGUACAAGUUAGGGAACCCAUUAGCACUUGCAUUUUAAACUUAGUUAACUGCUGCUAGGCUCCACCAAAGUUAAGUAUUCCCUGUAAUACUGAGUUGAGCUACAGAAUAUAAAGGAGCACUUUAAUUUGCUAUCAUUUGAGAGCUUUAAAUUGAAAGUAUCUACUAGGUUAAAGCUGUACUUUGAGAUAAAGAAGAUAAAAUAAACUGAAUAAAUAAAACAGGAACGCUUSCUUGUUCUCUUUUGCAACAAAACUCUUCUUACCUUAGUCUCAGUCCUCAGGGUCUCUGUACUUUGGGAAAAAUCUCAUGUGUAUCAGCUGCUGCUAUUAUAGGUUAUUACUGGCACACACAUGUAAAAUAUUUACAUGAUGAUAAUACCCUACAGGCAGGCUUCACCUCCACGCAAAGAGAAUCAAAAAGACACGAAAAGUUGAUAACCAAGAAAGAUGUACCAAGCUCGGGAAGGAAACUGAACCUCGCGACAAGAGAAAAAGGAAGCGCUGGAACGGGCAGGUCGGAGGCAGCUGGAGAGGGGAGGCAGCCUGCAGAAAACACGGCAAAACCUGACGAUGGCAGAGGUAACAGGCUGUUAAGGAAAGUUAACAAAAAAUGGAAAACUAUGCUAAAACGAGCUCCAGGGGCCAGAUGGCAAGUUAAGAAGCUGGGGGAGGGGAAGGAUUCAACAAAAGAAGGACAAAAAAGUGAACUGGGGAAUAAGCGAACGCAGCAUUGUGUUAGGAGGAGGCAGCUAGCCAGCUGCAGAGGCAAGCGAGCUCCUAGUUAUCUCACCGUGUUGACUACAGAAACAGACUUCAAAUGACGCAGUGUCUAUAAACAGAGGGGAGGAAUUAGUUCCCRUUCUGGUAGUUGUGUCUAUGACCCUAAAAGCCUUGUGGCGUGCAUGCAUCAGGAAUUCAGUUCCUGAGGGCACCGGCAGUGCUACUGCGUAGCUGAGACAACUCUGAGCAGUAGCAAAAAGUCCAUAGAAUAAGCACUUGCUUAUUACUGCAGAAAUUUGGUACUGCAAUUAUAAAUGUUGCUCAUAAAGUUGGAUACACCAUUACUCCAAACAAAUGUAGAACAUAAGAAUCAAGUCACUUGCAGUGUUAACAGACUAAAUAKACUGUUUCUUCAUCAGAUAUGAAUUUGAUUCAACAGUAAACAAAAGAUCUCAGAUUGUGCUGUUUCAAUCAUACUGAUGGAACCGGACAGUUACUUUGAUGCACUAUUCCACUGUGUUCAUUUUUGUUAAAAGAUGUAUCAGAAAAGCCUUGUUCACAUGCUGAUUUGCUUCUUCAAACAGCACUGCUGUUUCCUCCAUAACAUUUUCUCUUUCUGGUCUUUUCCCUGCUGGUCUGAGUAAUUAGUUCUCUGGGGAUAUCAAGUCUUUUCUUGCUUACUAGCAUUGGAACAGGGAAUAUCUGAACUAAUCCCAUGGUACCAACGAUAAUGCUUCUUUUGACAUAUAGGAGAUCCUUUAUGGAGCAUUAUAUGACCCUUACUGUGGACAAACACAUGUCAGAUGUAGUAUGUGAGGCAUUUACAAGCUCCAGCUAAAUCAGUUUAUGUUUAUCACUCAGUAGAGCAGGACUUUCACAGUGGUAUCUAUUUAGCAAUCCCGCCUGAUCAAAGUUUCUAUGUAAAGAGCAGAAUGCCAGUGUGGAAGUGAGCUCCAUACUUGUGCUUGUGUGGCCAUAGCAGAUGAUCUAUGGUUUUGUAUGACUUCAGUCAUACAGAAAAAAAAUGCAAAACAGAAUAAAUCUGAGAGUCACCAGGACA
rnacentral:lncRNA from 1 species